rnacentral:lncRNA from 1 species
UUUUACGGUAACUGACGAAUCCCUCUGCAUAGAAAGUGAUCUGUAUCCAGUAGCAACAGUGCCUUCAAGCUGCAUGGUAAUGGCAAUAAUAUAGCGAGGACUAUAAUUACAAUAGUACUAUCAUUAUUAGUAAAGUGCUAUGUACGAGCAACCACGUACGUGAAGUUCCCGUUUAGGUGAUAAGAAACUCUUCUUUAAAGUCAACAAACAUAACCACAAACUUCAUUUAAGUGAGAUAAGUUUCUGUUUUAUGAAAAGGUAGAAAUAUUGUUCCUUGUUCGACGUAAUUUGUCGACUUUGCGUCUAGAAGACAAUGAAAGUGAACGGAAUUAGAAUCGAGACGAUCCCUGAAGGAAAUUGUGUAUUCGUAUAAUUUCCAUCAGUGCAUAAGACAGACACGGAAAAGAUACAGAAGAUCGGAAAUUUUUACAUACGUAAUUUAUCGAAUUUGAAGAUUACAUAACAGGCGAUGAAGCAAGUAACUCAUCAAUUGAAUCCCAUGAAUAUUUUGGGUGUCACAUGAGAAAAAAUGGUACGUACGCCAGUGAUGUAGUACCAACCAAAUCUGCAUUGUGUUUCAAGAUGAAUAUAUCAUUGUAUCGUCAGAGAUUAGCAGUGAUCAAAGUACAUGGAUCAGAAUAUUAUUAAUAAAUAAAACUGUCCCUGAAAAAAAAAGUUGAAUAUAAGUAAAUCGUUAUUGAAAGUAUAUUUACGCGACGGAUAUUUCUAUUCAAGUGAAAAUACAUCGUGAAGCUGAAUAAAAAGCCGCACGAUGUAGAUCCACCUCAAAACUCCUGACGUUCAGGACAUCCACUUCGUUCUUGUAGAUAACUAAAAAAACCAAGUCAUCCGCUUUAAACGUUUUCAACGACAAGCGAUGACCCAACAGCAGAAGUUCCAAAUACGUUCUUCCUCUGCUAACGUAGGAAUGAGCAUGAAUUUUCACGGUUCACAUCAAGUUGUCACUAUGAAUAAAUAAUACGGAUCACACAGGCAUCUCAGCGAUCGCUUAACGACUCUCUUAUCAAAGUCAAUUCGCCGUUUGUCAGCGUCAGUGGAGGCGAAAGAAAUGUCAACAGAAAUUCGGCUUCGGACACAUGUUUCACAGCAAACCUUGCAGCCAAACAAACUGGUCCGUCCAAACCGCACGACGGUAGCAAGUCGACUGUUUAUCGGCUUGCCCGAUAAUCACUGCUGUCCAGCUGUGGCGACUCUCUCCCAUGGCAAUUCUAUGGCUGGACGGAACCGUGCUAGUUAUUCACGAGCCAACAGUUAUCACUCUCCUUAAGUGAUAAUCCCAGAUGCCAGGAGAAGAUAAAACGUUUGCACAGAAUCUCCCCGGUUCUUCAUGCGAGAAUACGCAAAUUCCCACGUGACUGCACCAGUGGCGCAGUUUUACAAAAAUUUCUGCCCAAUUAUUUUAAAUCACGGACCACCGCGUUUAUACUGGCCUUUUUGCUUUCAAAGAGAUUAAUAAUGACGAACACUGGUCUUGAAGUUUGCAACCACACGGCAUCAAACAGGUCCAAGUCCUAAUGAAGUAAAUCUACGUGGGCUUCGUCAGAGUGGGGUACUCUUGCCUGAACCACCGCAAUUUCCGCACGUAUAACUGCGACCACCCCCAGAGUAUGACAUCGGAGGAGAUGGUGUGAACAUGUAGUUAUAGGACGAUUACGAAGUGCUGCGACGGCCGCAAGUUCUACUGUUGUGACCUGAGAUGAGAAGACAAAAUACAUAUUGAUUCUCAUCAUCUUGACUUCUGAUCAUAAUCUCUACUGUUAACAUCAUAGCUCCAAUGAUAGUCACUGAAAAUGGUCUCAAUAAUGUACCUUCACCGCCACAGGUACUGCAUCUAGGAGUGGCUCUCGUUGAAGCCCUGGAUGUCACAGAAUCGCGCGAGCGUGUUGAUCUGUUGUGUUCUGAGGGUUGCAAAAUUUUGAAAACACAAAAUUUCAUACAAAAUCAGCGAAACUAGUUGAAUUUGCAAGACUUUUUUGAAAUUUAAAAAUUAUGCGUAAUCAAUAUUGAGUAUAUUUUAUAAGGCACGAAUAGCAGAGUACAAUUUAAUUUAUUUUUAAAUGUAUUAAAACACGAGCCGUCAUUUGGUUUAAAAUUCAUUCAUUCAUCCACUCCACAACUCAUUCGUUUCAGGUGUAUAUUGUUUAAAAAUGGUGUAUAUUGUUAAAAUUAUAGUGAAUAGUAGUCUUUCGUCGAGGCAAUAUAUUCUUGGA